UACGAAGGUGGCAAGCGUUGUUCGGAUUUACUGGGCGUACAGGGAGCGUAGGCGGCUGGGUAAGCCCUCCGUGAAAUCUCCGGGCCUAACCCGGAAAGUGCGGAGGGGACUGCUCGGCUAGAGGAUGGGAGAGGAGCGCGGAAUUCCCGGUGUAGCGGUGAAAUGCGUAGAGAUCGGGAGGAAGGCCGGUGGCGAAGGCGGCGCUCUGGAACAUUUCUGACGCUGAGGCUCGAAAGCGUGGGGAGCAAACAGG
rnacentral:rRNA from 1 species